GUUAAACAUCUGCUUUGUAUCAUCCACAGAAAAAAGCCUAAAAGGCUAACACUUUGGGAGGACUCCGUCGAACAUUAUGGAAAUGAACUUUCAGAGAAAGUGAAACACUAUCCUGUCUUCCUGGCUAGAAGAGUGGGAUAUGGAGCAGAUACAACACAACAAUACUCUUACAUCCCACAUAUCCAGAAGCUACCACAUUAGCUGCAUGGGCCAAAACAAUUCAACGACAACUCAUUGAGUACGCAGCUAGAAGCAUGUCCCCAGAAGGCACUCUUCUUUUUGUUCCCUUUGAAGAAGAAUCAAUAUUCAUAUCCGAUAUCCAAAUGCAGCCACAGGGACAAAUAUUCAAUAUCGACGGUCAACUUUCACUGAUAAAUGAAGACCAACAUUUCUGCUCCAUGUACGUGCUCAGAUUGUAAAAUGCCAUUUUUAAGAACUACUUCACCAAGGCCAAUCUACUGCAUCCAGUGCGAAAGAUCUACCCAACUUAUUCCCAGAAUCCAAUUUGAAGUUAUGGUCAUGGAUGACACUGGUAGCACAGUAGCGUCCAUCUCGGAUCAAUCAGCAUCGAAGAUGUUGAACCUCACUGUACAAGAGAUUUAUGACAUCUGUCAUGCACAGAGAAAAGCGCUACUUCUUGACAAUGCGCAUAAACAAUUGGCCUCAAAACUUUCAGAAUCCAAAUGAAAAGAUUAUUUUCCAAAAAUCAAGAUAGGCUAGCUAUCAUGAAUUAUGAGGAAAAAGAACCUACCAACCAACCAUUACCAACUGCACCAAUGACUAGCACUGCUGAAGCAAGCAAGCGCAAGGCUAUGGAGAUUGGCUUCGACCAAACGAAUUAGCAGAACCUGCCUACCAAAGACAGACCUUCCAGCACUAGACAGAAAACAGAAACCAAGACUCCUCUCAAAAGGGAGUGAAAGCUACUGGAAAUGUUUUGCCAACAAGUUUUUGGAGCACAUCUUUUUGCCAAUGCACUGUCAAGGUACUAUCUUUUUGCCAGAAGACUGCCUUUUUGAAAAGCUACAUUACAACCAUAUGUGACGCCCCGUGCUUUAAAAAGGUACAUGACACGGCUAGGAACUGCACUACUACUACACUUUCUACAUCCAUCACUUGAAAACUUGCACUAAUUUUAACCACAAAUUUCUACGAGUAUUUUGUCAACCAUGGCGUCGCACAACUACAACAUGCAUGAUUGCUACUAAGAAAAUACUUUUACGUAAAUAUGUGGUAUAAAUGAUGUAUAUAUGACAAGGUAACCAUCAAUGUAAUAGACAAAUGUAUAUAUGCAUAAACAGUGCAAACUUAUUUUAGUUGUCUUAUACUAUCUUACCUCAUUACUUACGAUAAUCUUCUUACUGUUGGAUAUUUUAAAUUAUCCCUAAAUAUUGUGAAAGUGAACGAUUUUU